AUACGUAGGGGGCGAGCGUUGUCCGGAAUUACUGGGCGUAAAGGGGUGCGUAGGCGGAUAUGCAAGUCCGAUGUGAAAGACUUCGGCUUAACCGAGGAGCUGCAUUGGAAACUGCAUAUCUAGAGUGCAGGAGAGGGAAGCGGAAUUCCUAGUGUAGCGGUGAAAUGCGUAGAUAUUAGGAGGAACACCAGUGGCGAAGGCGGCUUCCUGGACUGUAACUGACGCUGAGGCACGAAAGCUGGGGGAGCAAACAGGAUUAGAUACCCUGGUAGUCCCAGCCGUAAACGAUGGGUACUAGGUGUUGCUGUCGUCAAGGCGGCAGUGCCGGAGCUAACGCAAUAAGUACCCCGCCUGGGGAGUACGGCCGCAAGGCUGAA
rnacentral:rRNA from 1 species